AGUUGAGAAAUCCACUAAGUGAUUGUUUCCAUAUUCAGGGAAACCUAGGUUGAGAAAGACAUAAUAGGUAAUCCUGAGCCAAAUUUUGUUUUUAAAAUAGGUGCAGAGACUCAAAGGGAACUAUCCAAAUAAAAAAGAUUAUUUUUAAUUAUAUUCAAUCAAUCAAAUACUUAAUUAAUCAUAAAUAUUUAGAAAUUUAUUUUUUAGUUAUUAAAAAUAAUUCUUUAUUAUGGAUAAAGAUAGAGUCCAUUUUUACAUGCUAUAUUUAGCAAUGACGCAAAUCAAUGUAAAAAGAAAAUCCGUUGGCUUUUUAGACCGUGAGGGUUCAAGUCCCUCUACCCCCA
rnacentral:tRNA from 1 species